AUGCAGGUGUACUGUAGCAGCAACAAUCCACCGUCCGUUGCAAUCCAACAGCUCUCCUUUCUCCCCUUUAAUUAUCAGAAACAAACACAUAUUGAACUGGAGAGCAGCGACUGGGGAGCCGAACACCUCCGGCGGCUGCCAAUGGCUCCGACGCCACGAAGCCUCGUCUUGUCCAAUGAGAUCAUGGCGAACGAGAUCUUAGCGCAGCAGCCGGCUAAGAAACGCCCUAGCUGUGGUACAUGCCUCUUACCGUGGCCUCUUACCGUGGAGCCCGGAUGGGGCUAUGCUACGACCAGCGUGGUGGCUCGUGCAAGUGCAACCGCGGUCUGCUCCGCCACCACCAUCUGCUUGCGCUCCCGCAACCUUCAACAUAACCACGUGAACGCUGAGGAUGGACGACAUGACGACAUGGGACAAGGUCGGCGUGGUCGACUCCGACGAUCUCUAAUCCCUCCCCGGCUAUGGCCUCGUGCCAUGCAUCAGGCCGGAGUACCCCACCGUACCGUUAGCCUGGAUGAUCCCGAUGUUAUCUGCUUCAUGGUGCACAAGAACGAAUACCAUCUGAAUUCUUCGACAACUCCUCUCCCGGCCGUUCUCCGGCAAGGCGCCAUGAACGAGGGGACAAGCACACCUGGGUCGCCGCAUGCCUGCUCAACGACGAGGAAAAACGAGAGCGGUUGGAUUCGAACGGACGGCGGAUUGUUGCUGCUACAGUACCGGUACAGUCAAAGCUUAACUGCAGAGGAGCCGAACCCCAUAUCAUGCAUGUAUGCCGGUCGAAUCAAUAGCCCUAUGGUCUGGUACAAAGAAUCUCUUAGCUAUAUGAACCAUCUAAACUGCCAAAAAAAACUAAAAGUAAUGAGAUUUGAGGAAAGAGGAAAAGAUGUUGUACUACCUCCGUCCGGAAUUAAAAGGCCGGAAGACCAAUUCUCCCGGACCAAGGCGCUCUCUCGUUGGCGCUCUCGCUUCUCUUUUCUCAGGCAUGCAUGA
rnacentral:rRNA from 1 species